rnacentral:rRNA from 1 species
UACGAAGGGGGCUAGCGUUGUCCGGAUUUAUUGGGCGUAAAGAGCUCGUAGGCGGUUUGUCGCGUCGACUGUGAAAACUGGGGGCUUAACUCUCAGCUUGCAGUUGAUACGGGCAGACUUGGGUUCGGUAGGGGAGACUGGAAUUCCUGGUGUAGCGGUGAAAUGCGCAGAUAUCAGGAGGAACACCAAUUGCGAAGGCAGCUCGCUGGAACGGUACUGACGCUGAGGCGCGAAAGCUAGGGGAGCAAACGGG